rnacentral:rRNA from 1 species
UUCGGGUUGUAAACCUCUUUAGAAGGGGCAAAGGGAGAGUGACGGUACGUGCAGAAGAAGCACCGGCCAACUACGUGCCAGCAGCCGCGGUAAGACGUAAGGUGCGAGCGUUGUCCGGAUUUAUUGGGCGUAAAGAGCUCGUAGGCGGCUUGUCGCGUCGACCGUGAAAACUUGGGGCUCAACCCCAAGCCUGCGGUCGAUACGGGCAGGCUAGAGUUCGGUAGGGGAGACUGGAAUUCCUGGUGUAGCGGUGAAAUGCGCAGAUAUCAGGAGGAACACCGGUGGCGAAGGGGGGACUCUGGGCCGAUACUGACGCUCAGGAGCGAAAGCGUGGGGAGCGAACAGGAUUAGAUACCCUGGUAGUCCACGCUGUAAACGUUGGGCGCUAGGUGUGGGGGGCCUCUCCCGUUUCCUGUGCCGCAGCUAACGCAUUAAGCGCCCCCCCUGGGGAGUACGGCCGCAAGGCUAAAACUCAAAGGAAUUGACGGGGGCCCGCACACCCGGCGGAGCAUGCGGAUUAAUUCGAUGCUACGCUAAGAACCUUACCUGCGUUUGACAUGGCCACAAAACCUCCA